rnacentral:rRNA from 1 species
AUUGAACGCUGGCGGCAGGCCUAACACAUGCAAGUCGAGCGGAUGAAGGGAGCUUGCUCCUGGAUUCAGCGGCGGACGGGUGAGUAAUGCCUAGGAAUCUGCCUGGUUGUGGGGGAUAACGUCCGGAAACGGGCGCUAAUACCGCAUACGUCCUGAGGGAGAAAGUGGGGGAUCUUCGGACCUCACGCUAUCAGAUGAGCCUAGGUCGGAUUAGCUAGUUGGUGGGGUAAAGGCCUACCAAGGCGACGAUCCGUAACUGGUCUGAGAGGAUGAUCAGUCACACUGGAACGGAGACACGGUCCAUACUCCUACGGGAGGCAGCAGUGGGGAAUAUUGGACAAUAGGCGAAAGCCUGAUCCAGCCAGGCCGCGUGUGUGAAGAAGGUCUUCGGAUUGUAAAGCACGUUAAGUUGGGAGGAAGGGCAGUAAGUUAAUACCUUGCUGGUUUGACGGUACCAACAGAAGAAGCACCGGCUAACUUCGUG